GAAAGUGGAGGGAAAACCAAUGAUUCGAUAGCAUUUGUCAAUGGUAUGGCCGGAUUUCUUACAAUAGUUGCAUAUCAGGUUAUUCUUCUUUCCUUCAAGAUUUGCUUUGAAUUUUCCUUCUACAUUAGUAUACUUUUGAAAAUAGGUUUGUUGAUUCCCUGCCAGAAAAGCAUUUUCAAUAGGGUGUUGUGUAACAUGAAUUUUCCUUUGUUUUUCAUCUUGAAUAAGAAGAGAGUAGGCUUAAUUGACACUAGGAAGAGGGGUAAACAUGAGAAUGUUACUCCUGACAGCUGAAUAGACAUC
rnacentral:lncRNA from 1 species